rnacentral:rRNA from 1 species
AGAGAGAGACAUGCGCGCAUAUCAAUAAGCGGAGGAAAAGAAACUAACAAGGAUUCCCUUAGUAACGGCGAGUGAAGCGGGAAGAGCUCAAAUUUGAAAUCUUCAAGGUUCUACCUUGACGAAUUGUAGUUUAUAGAAGUGUUUUCUGUUAGUGGAGUGGCAAAAGUUCUUUGGAAUAGGACAUCAUAGAGGGUGAGAAUCCCGUAUUUGGUCAUUCCUCCUAGCGUUGUGAUACACUUUCAACGAGUCGGAUUGUUUGGGAAUGCAGUCCAAAAUGGGUGGUAAAUUUCAUCUAAAGCUAAAUAUUGGCGAGAGACCGAUAGCGAACAAGUACCGUGAGGGAAAGAUGAAAAGAACUUUGAAAAGAGAGUUAAACAGUACGUGAAAUUGUCAAAAGGGAAGCGUUUGACACCAGUGUUGUUUUUCUCGAAAAUCAAUUACGAAUGUUUUGUUUUUGAGGAGUUAUGACUUCAUCGGCUUGCUCCUUUCUUUACGAAACUUUCUUAAUGCACUUUUCGGUUAACAAGUCAACAUCAAUUUCUUUUGUUGUAAAAGGGUAUGAGGAAGGUGGCUUUCUUUUCGGAGAAAGUGUUUAUAGCCUUGUGCCUCUGCAAUCGGAGAGAUUGAGGUCUGCAGCGUAGAUCCUUCGGGGUUAGAUACGUUUGUGCUAAGUUAUAGCUUUUCAUAGACAACUUGUUGACUACGUUUAGUCUUGUAGCUUACUCGCUGACGCUAUUUUACCUACGCUUAGGAUGUUGAUAGUCACAGCGUGUAC